UUAACUGAAACCAAAGAGAGGUAUAUUAUUGUUAAUAAUAAAACUGAAUAAAAUUAUUCCGGUUAAG
rnacentral:tRNA from 1 species